rnacentral:rRNA from 1 species
AGUGAACGCUGGCGGUAGGCCUAACACAUGCAAGUCGAACGGCAGCACAGUAAGAGCUUGCUCUUACGGGUGGCGAGUGGCGGACGGGUGAGGAAUACAUCGGAAUCUACUUUUUCGUGGGUGAUAACGUAGGGAAACUUACGCUAAUACCUCAUACUACCUACGGGUGAAAGCAGGGGUUCUUCGGACCUUUCGCGUUUGUAUUAGCCGAUGUCGGAUUAGCUAGUUGGCGGGGUAAAGGCCCACCAAGGCGACGAUCCGUAGCUGGUCUGAGAGGAUGAUCAGCCACACUGGAACUGAGACACGGUCCAGACUCCUACGGGAGGCAGCAGUGGGGAAUAUUGGACAAUGGGCGAAAGCCUGAUCCAGCAAUACCGCGUGGGUGAAGAAGGCCUUCGGGUUGUAAAGCCCUUUUGUUGGGAAAGAAAAGAAGCAGGAUAAUACCCCGCUGUUCUGACGGUACCCAAAGAAAAAGCACCGGCUAACUUCGUG